AAAUUGAAGAGUUUGAUCAUGGCUCAGAUUGAACGCUGGCGGCAGGCCUAACACAUGCAAGUCGAACGGUAACAGGAAGAAGCUUGCUUCUUUGCUGACGAGUGGCGGACGGGUGAGUAAUGUCUGGGAAACUGCCUGAUGGAGGGGGAUAACUACUGGAAACGGUAGCUAAUACCGCAUAACGUCGCAAGACCAAAGAGGGGGACCUUCGGGCCUCUUGUCAUCGGAUGUGCCCAGAUGGGAUUAGCUAGUAGGUGGGGUAACGGCUCACCUAGGCGACGAUCCCUAGCUGGUCUGAGAGGAUGACCAGCCACACUGGAACUGAGACACGGUCCAGACUCCUACGGGAGGCAGCAGUGGGGAAUAUUGCACAAUGGGCG
rnacentral:rRNA from 1 species